rnacentral:rRNA from 1 species
AGCGUAGGUGGCCUAACAUGUCAACUGUGAAAAACCCGGAGCUCAACUCCGGACUUGCAGUUGAAACUGGUAGGCUUGAGGACGGUAGAGGAAGACGGAACUGCCAGUGUAGGGGGUAAAUCCUUAGAUAUUGGCAGGAACGCCGGUGACGAAGGUGGUUUUCUGGGCCGGUUCUGACACUGAUGCUCGAAAGCCAGGGGAGCGAACG